GACGAACGCUGGCGGCGUGCUUAACACAUGCAAGUCGAACGGAAAGGCCCUGCUUUUGUGGGGUGCUCGAGUGGCGAACGGGUGAGUAACACGUGAGUAACCUGCCCUUGACUUUGGAAUAACUUCAGGAAACUGGGGCUAAUACCGGAUAGGAGCUCCUGCUGCAUGGUGGGGGUUGGAAAGUUUCGGCGGUUGGGGAUGGACUCGCGGCUUAUCAGCUUGUUGGUGGGGUAGUGGCUUACCAAGGCUUUGACGGGUAGCCGGCCUGAGAGGGUGACCGGCCACAUUGGGACUGAGAUACGGCCCAGACUCCUACGGGAGGCAGCAGUGGGGAAUAUUGCACAAUGGGCGGAAGCCUGAUGCAGCAACGCCGCGUGCGGGAUGACGGCCUUCGGGUUGUAAACCGCUUUCGCCUGUGACGAAGCGUGAGUGACGGUAAUGGGUAAAGAAGCACCGGCUAACUACGUGCCAGCAGCCGCGGUGAUACGUAGGGUGCGAGCGUUGUCCGGAUUUAUUGGGCGUAAAGGGCUCGUAGGUGGUUGAUCGCGUCGGAAGUGUAAUCUUGGGGCUUAACCCUGAGCGUGCUUUCGAUACGGGUUGACUUGAGGAAGGUAGGGGAGAAUGGAAUUCCUGGUGGAGCGGUGGAAUGCGCAGAUAUCAGGAGGAACACCAGUGGCGAAGGCGGUUCUCUGGGCCUUUCCUGACGCUGAGGAGCGAAAGCGUGGGGAGCGAACAGGCUUAGAUACCCUGGUAGUCCACGCUGUAAACGGUGGGUACUAGGUGUGGGGUCCAUUCCACGGGUUCCGUGCCGUAGCUAACGCUUUAAGUACCCCGCCUGGGGAGUACGGCCGCAAGGCUAAAACUCAAAGGAAUUGACGGGGCCCCGCACAAGCGGCGGAGCAUGCGGAUUAAUUCGAUGCAACGCGUAGAACCUUACCUGGGUUUGACAUGGAUCGGGAGCGCUCAGAGAUGGGUGUGCCUCUUUUGGGGUCGGUUCACAGGUGGUGCAUGGCUGUCGUCAGCUCGUGUCGUGAGAUGUUGGGUUAAGUCCCGCAACGAGCGCAACCCUUGUUCACUGUUGCCAGCACGUUAUGGUGGGGACUCAGUGGAGACCGCCGGGGUCAACUCGGAGGAAGGUGGGGAUGACGUCAAGUCAUCAUGCCCCUUAUGUCCAGGGCUUCACGCAUGCUACAAUGGCUGGUACAGAGAGUGGCGAGCCUGUGAGGGUGAGCGAAUCUCGGAAAGCCGGUCUCAGUUCGGAUUGGGGUCUGCAACUCGACCUCAUGAAGUCGGAGUCGCUAGUAAUCGCAGAUCAGCAACGCUGCGGUGAAUACGUUCCCGGG
rnacentral:rRNA from 1 species